UGGUCCGCGUCCGUCGAGGGGUAACCCUGCCCGACCCCUGUCCUUUCCACGGGAAGGAAAGGCACGACCCAAGAGGUCGGGCAGGAUAUCCAUGGCUCGACCGAGACGAGCGAACUCCAGCGCCGUCAGCCAAGAUCCAGCGCCCCCGGCCGCCUCCGAGCUCCACCGCCGGCGACAGAAGUGACGCUCCCGACCCCCUCCCUCCGGUGCUCACGAUCCAACUCCGCCCCUCCAGCGACGGUGACGGACCGCGACCGUCACUGUUCUCCUUCCCCGGAUCUACCCUCCGCCUCGCAGCUUCGAUCCCCUCCGGCGACGGCGAAGGCGUCGGUUCCGCGGACAUAUUCUAUCUCAUUCUUCUCAUCUGCUCAUAUAUUUUGUACAGAAAUAAAAAAAAAUUGCACUACAUAUGUGACAUCAGAUUUCAUAUGUUAUAGGAGGUACACAACACUUUAUUUACCAGAUCAUGAAAGCAAACUUUCUUAUUUAUGUACUUUGCCACAUUCUUGCCAAGUUCCUGCUUUUUAAAUUGGUUGCAUGCCUAGUGUCAUCGUGCUAAACUAGAUACAUGCCUACUGUCUUUGUAUAUGUAAACAUUCGGUCAAAGAAUAAGAUGCGGUCUGAAAAUUCACAUAUGGAAGAGACUAGUCAGCCUGUACGCCUUGUCCUAAUUUUAUUUUUGAAGGAUAUGGUCUGAAAAAUUACAUAUGAAAAUUGUUUCCAUUCAAGUUCUCCCCUUUUGUUUUGUACCAAGCUAUUGAACCAAGGUUUAGGAGCAUCAAAAUUAGAUAAUUAUUCCCAUUCAAGUCCUUGCCACUAUACACUGCAUAGAUUAUUGCUGUUUCUCUUUUUGCCAUCACAAUUACAAUUGGGAGCAGCAAGAUUAGAUAAUUAUUUAGUCAUACUAGUAUGUAUAUUGUCAUAACUUGGACGAAUUAGUGAUCGGUAGUCGCUGCUAACCGGCGUUCUGGUGGAGUGCAAAAGUGGUAGUUACAUUCAGGACAUGAAAAAUUGAGUAUGAAUGUCAGCUUUCUGUAGUUCAGUCAGCUUCCUAUAGGUUUGUUUUUCUCACCCUGCAUAGCUAGCUAGUACAUAUGUAUUCUUCUGUAGUUUCUUGUGCACUCUGCAGAUUUAGAGCUAGGAAGAAGCAGUGAAGGGAGGGACCUCAGUAGGACAGCAUGAGUUGGACGGUCGCUACGAUGUGGGAACUGUUGACCGGUAAACUCUGAAUCAGUUGAGCACCCAAAUGCCAAAUUUUCCAUUGUCAAUCUCUCAAAAUAGAAAUAUGUUACAUAAUUAAAGCCUCUGAGCCCUAUUGAUGCGCAAAGGCAUGGGCGACAAAGUCCGGCCGACCUCAUCGUGAUGCAGGACCGGCGGCCACCCUUGACCCUCUGCUAGAGUUAGGUCCCAUCCUGAGCGGUCCGUUGCUCUGGGCGACAUCGGAGGUGGGCUGGUCGGUGGCAUACAUACUAGAACUUGAGUUGGGAUCACUGCUGGUGCUAGCGGUGUUGAUGGUGCCAUUCACGUCUCGCUGCAAAGUUGUUGAACAAGGCAAGACCGAUCACCCAUGAACUGAAGCACACAUGCGUGUGCAGUGUGAGCUAAGUAAGCUGUUCCCGGCCGAUGAGGAAGAUAAGGACUACUGACCGCUGCCUUACAACUUAUAUCUUCAAGAAGUAUCGCUAGCCCGGACACGAAUAUUUGAUAAUCGAUAACUUUUUGUAUGGAGAGAGAGGUCUGCGACAACCUCACAAUUCUUGUAUGAUUCAUUUGUAUCGGUGUUGGCUUGACAGUUCUAAAUUUGGGAACCUGUCGAACAAUGAUGGCUAUUCUUAUUCUAGCCCAUGAAAAUGGUCACAUGAUGUUUUUGUUUGUACACGAGAGAUCUUUUUCAGCUGCAACAUCAUAUAUAUUUCAUACUAAAUUCUGACAUUUGUGUA